rnacentral:tRNA from 1 species
GAGAGAGGCUCGCUAGCAACGAACACUGCUAAUUUUCGCCACCCUGGUUGGACCCCGGGGCUCACUCG